rnacentral:tRNA from 1 species
GCCGGAGUGGCGGAACCUGGUAGACGCGCCAUCUUGAGGGGGUGGUGAGCGCAAGCUCGUAGGAGUUCAAAUCUCCUCCCCGGCA